AUGCUCACUUUGGCACCACAUAUAUUAAACUGGAGGACACAGAGAAGAUGAGCAUGUAUCUUAUACUGGAUGAUACGCAAACUCAUGAAGCAUUCCAUAUUUUU